UACAAACCUGGAUUUUUUAUGUACAACCCUGACCCUGACGUUUGCUACAUUCCUUUUUCUAUGAAAUAAUGUGAAUGAUAAUAAAACAGCUUUGACUUGAAAAAAAAAAAAAAAA
rnacentral:lncRNA from 1 species